AUUCUGGCUCAGAACGAACAUUAGCGAGAUGUUUUAAGCAUGCAAGUCGAGCGGCAGCACUUCGGGUGGCGAGCGGCGAACGGGUGAGUACUUAUUAGCAACUUACCUCCCAGACGGGGAUAGCUACUGUAAUGGUAAUUAAUACCCGAUACGAGGAAACUUGAAAGGCGCGUUGGUGCCACUGGGAGAUAGGGCUAAUUCCUAUUAGCUUGUUGGUGGGGUAAUGGCCUACCAAGGCGACGAUAGGUAGCCGGCCUUAGAGGGUGAUCGGCCACACUGGGACUGAGAUACGGCCCAGACUCCUACGGGAGGCAGCAGCUGAGAAUAUUCCGCAAUGGGGGAAACCCUGACGGAGCAAUCUCGCAUGGAUGAUUAAGGCUUUCGGGUUGUAAAAUCCUUUCGGCAGGAAAGAAUAUGAGACGAGGAAAUGCGUUUCUGAUGACGGUACCUGCAAAAGAAGUCCCGGCUAACUACGUGCCAGCAGCCGCGGUAAUACGUAGGGGGCGAAUGUUGUUCGGAAUUACUGGGCGUAAAGGGUGCGUAGGCGGCCCGUUUAGUUGGCAAUGAAAUUUCGUGGCUCAACCACGAAGCUGUUGCCAAUACUGGCGGGCUAGAGUUAUAGAUAGAGGUAGUAGGAAUUCCUGGUGUAGGGGUGAAAUCUGUAGAUAUCAGGAAGAACACCAAGGGUGAAGACAAACUGCUGGGUAAUAACUGACGCUGAGGCACGAAAGCUAGGGUAGCAAAUGGGAUUAGAGACCCCAGUAGUCCUAGCCGUAAACUUUGUACACUAAUUUUAAGGGGUGGCGCAAGCCUCCUUUUGAAAUGUAGCUAACGCGUUAAGUGUACCGCCUGGGUAGUAUGCACGCAAGUGUGAAACUCAAAGAAAUUGACGGGGGCUCGCACAAGUGGUGGAGCAUGUGGUUUAAUUCGAUGAUACGCGAAAAACCUUACCUGGGCUUAAACGUUUAACGACAGGUGAUGAAAGUCAUUUUCCCUUCGGGGCGUUAAGCGAGGUGCUGCAUGGCUGUCGUCAGCUCGUGUUGUGAGAUGUUGGGUUUAGUCCCGCAACGAGCGCAACCCAUGUCCUAUGUUGCUAAUUGUCCUUCGGGGCAAAGAACUCUUAGGAGACUGCCUGUGGAUAACCAGGAGGAAGGAGUGGAUGACCCAAG
rnacentral:rRNA from 1 species